rnacentral:lncRNA from 1 species
GGUGUUGCUUCACAGCUUACUGCAGUGGCUGGUUGCGAGUUCUUCUGUUAUAAAGGGCGUAACAAGGACAUCGAUGACGGAAGGCCAUGCGUGAUGGAGUGGUACUCGGCUAGCGUAACUGGGGAGCCAGUAGUGACACUUACUGGAACUUGCUUCCAAGGAAUAUGCCAUCAUUCUGCAUCGACCUGGCAAACUAUACGUGGCUUGUGCCAU